rnacentral:lncRNA from 1 species
CCCAAUCAAAGGGCAUCCCCUCAUUUUUCAAUUCCCUUUGUGGUUUCUAACUAACUGAGCAAUCCAUAGCCCCAUUAUUGAUGUCAUCAAUGACAUCAUGCGAAUGUCUGCCAUCAAUAUUGCAGCCCACAGAUUGAGCUGUUCCAACUAUCUCUUUAAUGGUUCCAAGAGAGGUCUCUUGCCAGGGAUAGGGGUUUCUUCUAGGGCUUUUAUGAUCAGGGCCAAGGCAGAAGGCACUACCUCAAUCUAGGCUUAUCUAUUCUGAAUGGUAAACCCUGGAACAUAAGCACUAAAUUCCACAAAUGCAUGAUAUUUGGUCUCCAAAAUCAGGAUAUGAAUUAACCUCAAAGUCAGGAGACCCACAUCUAUAUACCUACUUCCAGGAAGACUGGGAAGAGAAACAUCAUUGUAACAAGGGAGAUGGGGAAAGAAGAGAGGAAAAAGAGGAGGAAGAGGAAGAAGAAUAGAGGGAAAGAAGAGAAGAGGGGAAGUAAGAGGAAGAGAGGAAGAGGGCUCAGAGAAGGAGAGAGGAUACAAAGUGCUGAGUAUAAACUUUGUCCUAUCAGAAU